rnacentral:rRNA from 1 species
UACGUAGGGGGCAAGCGUUGUCCGGAUUUACUGGGCGUAAAGGGCGCGUAGGCGGCCUUCUAAGUCAGAUGUGAAAGCCCCGGGCUCAACCUGGGAAUUGCAUUUGAGACUGCGUAGCUAGGGUGCGGAAGAGGGAAGCGGAAUUUCCGGUGUAGCGGUGAAAUGCGUAGAUAUCGGAAGGAACACCAGUGGCGAAAGCGGCUUCCUGGUCCAGCACCGACGUUCAGGCACGAAAGCGUGGGGAGCAAACAGG